ACUGAUCUUUCCUCCUUUGCAGAACAUGAAAGUGAUGAUGUUGGACAGCGCCAAAAUAAGCCACGCAGAUAUUCAGAGAUGAACUUUGGUCAAUGAAGUAAGCAAGCAUAUGUGAUGGAGCCUAUUUCAAUAAGCAAAGGCCUUCUUCUAUGCCCUUUGUGAUCUCUAGUUCUAUUCUGGAGCACUUUGGGCUGCUAUAGGUUCCAAUAAGUAUUAGGAAUAUACGACAAACGCCUCUCCCGACGUUAAUCUGAGAACAGUAUUUUCAGCUUGACGUGUGGGCUUUUCCUUGUUUAAAUUGUGGUUUUUCUUGUGGUUUGGUUUUUGAAUGAAGCAAGUGAGAAAGGGCUUCCCCAAAUAUGAGAAAAAUGAGAGAAAUGUUGAAGGAAUUCUUUUAGCAGCAGCUAGCUAGCUAGCUAGCUAUGUUGUGCUAAUUGGAGUUUGAUUAUUAUUCUCUAUUCUAUAGUAUGAUGUUUGGUUAAGAAGUUUAUUAUUUGUUUGUUACCUUACACCACUGAGGUCGAGUAUUUUAGUAUGUAUGAUAUAUUUCUCUAAUGUGGGAUACAACACAUCGGAUGCUGCUGAGUAAUAAGACCCUUAGUAUUCGGUUUUGCGUGAGUAUAAUGUGUUAUGCUUUACCAGUAUGAGUUCAAUGUCAAUGUCUGGACAUAUAUUUAUAAAGUAUUGAGAUAUUCUUGAAAAUA